GAUGAACGCUGGCGGCGUGCCUAAUACAUGCAAGUCGAGCGAACGGACGAGAAGCUUGCUUCUCUGAUGUUAGCGGCGGACGGGUGAGUAACACGUGGAUAACCUACCUAUAAGACUGGGAUAACUUCGGGAAACCGUAGCUAAUACCGGAUAAUAUUUUGAACCGCAUGGUUCAAAAGUGAAAGACGGUCUUGCUGUCACUUAUAGAUGGAUCCGCGCUGCAUUAGCUAGUUGGUAAGGUAACGGCUUACCAAGGCAACGAUGCAUAGCCGACCUGAGAGGGUGAGCGGCCACACUGGAACUGAGCCACGGUCCAGACCCCUACGGGAGGCAGCAGAAGGGAAUCUCCCGCAAGGGGAGAAAGCCGGACGGAGCAACGCCGCGGGAGUGAUGAAGGUCUUCGGAUCGUAAACCUUUGUUAUGAGGGAAGAACAUAUGUGUAAGAAACUGUGCACAUCUUGACGGUACCUAAUAAGAAAGCCACGGCUAACUACGUG
rnacentral:rRNA from 1 species